rnacentral:rRNA from 1 species
UACGACGUAUCAGAGUUUGAUCCUGGCUCAGGAUGAACGCUAGCUACAGGCUUAACACAUGCAAGUCGAGGGGUUUCGAAGAGCUUGCUCCGAGAAACGACCGGCGCACGGGUGAGUAACGCGUAUCCAACCUGCCCUUCAUAUUGGGAUAGCCUUCCGAAAGGGAGAUUAAUACCGAAUAACAUAGAGUGGUUGCCUGAUUUCUCUAUGAAAGCUCCGGCGAUGAAGGAUGGGGAUGCGUUCCAUUAGGUAGUAGGCGGGGUAACGGCCCACCUAGCCGACGAUGGAUAAGGGUUCUGAGAGGAAGGUCCCCCACACUGGAACUGAGACACGGUCCAG